AGGACGAACGCUGGCGGCGUGCUUAACACAUGCAAGUCGAACGGAAAGGCCCGCUUGCGGGUACUCGAGUGGCGAACGGGUGAGUAACACGUGGGCAACCUGCCCUCAGCUCUGGGAUAACUCCGGGAAACCGGUGCUAAUACUGGAUAUCGACUUCUGCCUCGCAUGGGGUGUUGUUGAAAGUUUUUCGGCUGGGGAUGGGCCCGCGGCCUAUCAGCUUGUUGGUGGGGUGAUGGCCUACCAAGGCGACGACGGGUAGCCGGCCUGAGAGGGCGACCGGCCACACUGGGACUGAGACACGGCCCCAGACUCCUACGGGAGGCAGCAGUGGGGAAUAUUGCGCAAUGGGCGGAAGCCUGACGCAGCGACGCCGCGUGAGGGAUGACGGCCUUCGGGUUGUAAACCUCUUUCAGCUCUGACGAAGCGUGAGUGACGGUAGGAGCAGAAGAAGCACCGGCCAACUACGUGCCAGCAGCCGCGGU
rnacentral:rRNA from 1 species